rnacentral:rRNA from 1 species
UAAUACGAAGGGUGCAAGCGUUACUCGGAAUUACUGGGCGUAAAGCGUGCGUAGGCGGUUCGUUAAGUCUGACGUGAAAUCCCCGGGCUCAACCUGGGACGUGCGUUGGAAACUGGCGAUCUAGAGUACGGUAGAGGGUGGUGGAAUUCCCGGUGUAGCAGUGAAAUGCGUAGAGAUCGGGAGGAACACUCGUGGCGAAGGCGGCCACCUGGACCAGUACUGACGCUGAGGCACGAAAGCGUGGGGAGCAAACAGG